rnacentral:misc_RNA from 1 species
AGACACUCGGCAUUGAUAUUGUACCGAUAAAUCGUACCAUCUUGGACUAUGCAGAUUUGGGUUUGAUCAUCGGUCCAUGACAUACCGAUUAGGCGGCCUUCGGGGUGCUUCCAGACGGUUUCGGCGAUGAGGAUGCCAGCGGAGUUGAAGAUGCGAAGCUUGCGGAGGGCAGAUUCGGAAUAGAGCUGGACGAUCUUGGAGUCGUGAGGGAUAAUGGCGAUUGGGCCGCCGAAUGGAGCGCAGGCCACCUUGUUGCGGCUCAAGUC